ACCCGCUGAACUUAAGCAUAUCAAUAAGCGGAGGAAAAGAAACCAACAGGGAUUGCCCUAGUAACGGCGAGUGAAGCGGCAACAGCUCAAGUUUGAAAUCUGGCGUCUUUGGCGUCCGAGUUGUAAUUUGCAGAGGGCGCUUUGGCAUUGGCAGCGGUCCAAGUUCCUUGGAACAGGACGUCACAGAGGGUGAGAAUCCCGUACGUGGUCGCUAGCCUUUACCGUGUAAAGCCCCUUCGACGAGUCGAGUUGUUUGGGAAUGCAGCUCUAAAUGGGAGGUAAAUUUCUUCUAAAGCUAAAUACUGGCCAGAGACCGAUAGCGCACAAGUAGAGUGAUCGAAAGAUGAAAAGCACUUUGGAAAGAGAGUUAAAAAGCACGUGAAAUUGUUGUAAGGGAAGCGCUUGCAGCCAGACUUGCCUGUAGUUGCUCAUCCGGGUUUUUACCCGGUGCACUCUUCUAUAGGCAGGCCAGCAUCAGUUUGGGCGGUUGGAUAAAGGUCUCUGUCAUGUACCUCUCUUCGGGGAGAACUUAUAGGGGAGACGACAUGCAACCAGCCCGGACUGAGGUCCGCGCAUCUGCUAGGAUGCUGGCGUAAUGGCUGU
rnacentral:rRNA from 1 species